GUCUAGCCCUGACAGCAGCGGUAUCCUUUUUCUGGUCUCGUUUUUUUGUAACGGGACCAGAAAAAGAUUUAGCGAAUGGCAGGUGGAUUC
rnacentral:sRNA from 1 species